GCCCCCGUAGCUCAACAGGAUAGAGCAAGCGCCUUCUAAGCGCAAGGUUGUGGGUUCGAAUCCCGCCGGGGGCGCCA
rnacentral:tRNA from 1 species